ACGCUCGACACCUACGGGGGCAGCAGUGGGGAAUAUUGCACAAUGGGGGAAACCCUGAUGCAGCGACGCCGCGUGAAGGAAGAAGUAUCUCGGUAUGUAAACUUCUAUCAGCAGGGAAGAAAAUGACGGUACCUGACUAAGAAGCCCCGGCUAACUACGUGCCNNNCGCCGUAGUAUGNGCGGCGNGNGAGAG
rnacentral:rRNA from 1 species